CGUAGAGGACCUCGAAAACUAAGAGUAUGUCAUUCGUUGUUGUGUACCUAAGAAAAUUUUGGUCUAUGGUGCUGCUUUUGGUGCUAACUCGAGAACACAAAACAUUACAGGUGGGAACUGAACGAGAAAAUUGAUUUCAAUGGGAAGAAACUUCUACUCAAAAAGGAGCAAGGAGCAGGUUUUUUGUUUGACGAUUUGACAUGCAUAAAUUUGAACAAAUCAACACUCUUACAUCAGAUGGAGCUGAUACAGAAAAUUAUAUUAGAUUGCCGGGGCCCGGGUGCUGCUCACGAUUAUACGAGAUUUAUUUGUCGUGCAUCCAGGUAACUAGGUUGGUGG